UUGUAUUGGGACUAAGUUAAAUGGGACUAAAGGGGACUCGCGUGGAUUAGAGGGCUCGCUAGGAGUUCUUAGCGAGACCCUCCACAAACCACGGGACUUUCUAAGAUAUCUUCGCUUAGCCCCUUUCGCUUCGCCCCUGCUUCUUCUUCUCCACUCCCGCAUCCAUUUUCAUCUUCUUCCUCAUCUCUGCUUCACCCCUCUACGAGUUCUAGGCUACGUUCUUUUGGAUCUCAAAGGAAUUUGCGUCGAUUUGCAGAUCGUGGGGAGGAAAUGGGCAUCGUGGUGGCGAUUUUCUUCGAGCAUUGUCGUGACCACCAUGGAUGCCAAGCCCUUGCAAGCUUCAGUUCCCAACGCUUUAGCCCACAAUGCAUCAAGACCUCCAAUACCCAUUUCCGAUUUGGUCUCCCCCACCAUUUCUAACAUGCCGAUAAUUUUUUCCCGAUCAAAUCCCUGAAGAAAACUGCUCCAUCCUCUCCAAGUUUCUUAUUCUUUUGCAACCUCUCCCAUUAGUGAGACCCCCCCGACUACCACCAGAUUUUUAAGACCCUUCUUUUCUCUCACGUCGUCCCACUCGACUCCUCGCUCUGCUCGACUCCUCAUCCUGCUUGACAAGCUCACUGGACCAUCCCAGGACCACCGCCGCGUCCUCGUAAAUCACGGCUUCUUCUGCCACUUUCUCUUCUUAGUUUUCUUCAGUUUUGUUUUGAAGAUUCGUGAAAUUAUAACUAGGUUUUGAUAGAUUAUUGUUUUUGAUCGAUUUGUGGGUUUGAUUGAUUUCUCGGAUUUGAUUGGUUUCUGGGUUUUUAUUUUUGGGUUUUGACUGCUACCCAUUUGUUUUCAAUUUAUCUGCUAUUUUUCCUUUUAUGAAAUGAAAUACAAAGUUGUUCUAUGUAA